rnacentral:rRNA from 1 species
CGAUACGAGUUUGAUCCUGGCUCAGAACGAACGCUGGCGGCAGGCCUAACACAUGCAAGUCGAGCGCCCCGCAAGGGGAGCGGCGGACGGGUGAGUAACGCGUGGGAACGUACCCUUUGCUACGGAAUAGCCUCGGGAAACUGGGAGUAAUACCGUAUGUGCCCUUCGGGGGAAAGAUUUAUCGGCAAAGGAUCGGCCCGCGUUGGAUUAGGUAGUUGGUGGGGUAAUGGCCUACCAAGCCGACGAUCCAUAGCUGGUUUGGGAGGAUGAUCAGCCACACUGGGACUGAGACACGGCCCAGACUCCGUACGGGAGGCAGCAGUGGGGAAUCUUAGACAAUGGGCGCAAGCCUGAUCUAGCCAUGCCGCGUGAGCGAUGAAGGCCUUAGGGUUGUAAAGCUCUUUCAGUGGGGAAGAUAAUGACUGUACCCACAGAAGAAGCCCCGGCUAACUCCGUG